rnacentral:rRNA from 1 species
AGCGAACGCUGGCGGCAGGCCUAACACAUGCAAGUCGAACGAACUCUUCGGAGUUAGUGGCGGACGGGUGAGUAACACGUGGGAACGUGCCUUUUGGUUCGGAAUAACUCAGGGAAACUUGUGCUAAUACCGAGUGUGCCAUUCUGGGGAAAGAUGUAUCGCCAUUAGAGCGGCCCGCGUCUGAUUAGCUAGUUGGUGAGGUAACGGCUCACCAAGGCGACGAUCAGUAGCUGGUCUGAGAGGAUGACCAGCCACACUGGGACUGAGACACGGCCCAGACUCCUACGGGAGGCAGCAGUGGGGAAUCUUGCGCAAUGGGCGAAAGCCUGACGCAGCCAGGCCGCGUGAAUGAUGAAGGUCGUAGGAUUGUAAAAUUCUUUCACCGGGGACGAUAAUGACGGUACCCGGAGAAGAAGCCCCGGCUAACUUCGUG